rnacentral:rRNA from 1 species
UACGUAGGGUGCAAGCGUUGUCCGGAAUUAUUGGGCGUAAAGAGCUCGUAGGCGGUUUGUCGCGUCUGCUGUGAAAUCCCGAGGCUCAACCUCGGGUCUGCAGUGGGUACGGGCAGACUAGAGUGUGGUAGGGGAGAUCGGAAUUCCUGGUGUAGCGGUGGAAUGCGCAGAUAUCAGGAGGAACACCGAUGGCGAAGGCAGAUCUCUGGGCCAUUACUGACGCUGAGGAGCGAAAGCAUGGGGAGCGAACAGG